UAAGAGGAAGGAAUGGGUAAAUGGAUAGAGAAAUGCAUAGUGUGAGAAUGAACAAGACACAGAGAUAGAUGUGCGCAAAGAUAAAAUGGCCUGUUUGUGCUUCCUGAUCUGUCUCAUUUUGCAGAAAACACAGUUCAAACAUCACAGGCUGCUACAAUAACUCUGCAACAACUGUCGCAUUUGUGUCUACAAGCCUUGCAUACUGAGACACACCAACAGGCAAGGGAGGUCACCUUCACCUGGGCCUGAUGUUGGGGCAGCUGCUUGUUGAAAAAUGAGAUCAGCUGCUUGCUCACCGGGAUAUACUGCAGUCUGGAAGUACCCAGGGUCUAGUGUACCAGGUAGCAUACGGUGGGCCCCGUACAAUAAAGACAGGGUGAACAGCCCCCUCUCUCCCAGCCUGUCUGCCUGCCUGCCUGCCAUCCUGGGGCAUGUUGGGUCACCUUGACAACUGGGCCCAGUGAGGGGAGCUGCACCCCACUUCAGGGCAAAGAAGAAGGCAGUAUGGGAGGAACAACAGCUUGUAGAAGAAACCUCUGCGGAGUUGUUGGUCCAGGAAGAAAGAGAUUCAUGGGCAUCAUGGUGGAGGUCAGCUAGUCAGGAGAGAGUUCAUGCACAGAUAACUUCAAUAAAGCAUCUAAACGUGAUAUAUGACGUAUAUGUGAUGCAUGAAAAAGGAUUAGCGGGAGUGCUUUGCUAUUAUGUAGAAACACCGGCAGGAUGUGAACCUAUUGUUGUGUCAAAACUCCCUCAUCAUAAUGAAAUACUUGUAAAGGUUAUAGUGUUUCUCUUCUUUCCAAACUGAAAUUUAUGUUUUGUGGACUCACUAGAUUCAGCUCAGAAAACUGUAAAUCCAGGCCAACGUAAUGUUUAUUUUAAAGGAGGAGGAAACACUGGAUUGUCCUACCCAAGCAAACCUAGUUAUAAUGAUUGUCAGAGGUGAGGUUUAAUCAUUCUACAUCUUGGUCUCAUAAAUUUGGGGAAGGUACAGUAUUCCCUCAUGUUGACUCAACGUUAAACAUUCACUAAUAGCCUCAAAAACUGUGCAGUGUCCCGUGAAGCCAAUGGAAUCCUGUGAACGGCAGAAUAAGACCCAGUGGGACUUUCUGAUCACCUCUACACACAGAGACUCACAGUCAGUGUAAGGUACAUUUAUAAUCACCACCACAGAUGUAGUAAUUGUUACUGAAUGCAGCGGGCAUGCUCUAACGGUAUAGCUAGUACAUAUCUAGUUUCUUUGGCAGGAGAGCCAAUGAGACAAAGACAAACUAGUUCAUGAAACAGCAUGAAGUAACAUAUUGCUGACCACCAGCUGCAUUUGUUUGAAUGGAAUAAGCCUGCAAUCCAUGUAUUAAAGCAACAUAAUACAAAGUAGUUGGAGUGUAUAUGCUUCAAUCCAAAGUAUGAACACUGCAUAUGGGUCAUCAAAUGUGUUUUUAUUUAUUUAAUUGUUCUUCAUGCUCACAUGCUUAUAGUCCUUGAGUGGUGAAUAUAUUAACACGAAGCGACUUGUGAACUUUAGUUUCUUAUCUCCUUGCAAAAAAGAAAAAAGAUUCCACUUCAUUAUUCAGCCAUUCCUUCUGUUUGCAAUUGGAAACAACCCUUUCCCAGUAUAAAUUGCUAAAACUCUUGGAAACCGCAUAGAAAUUCCACAAAUGCAUGCACUAUAUCGUAUUAAGCUGUAAAGCCAUAUUGCAGAAAAAUGGACCGCAGAAGGAGUUCAUUUCUUUUACAGGUUUGUAAAGAUGAUGUAUGAUAGCAGGAUGAGUGUUCUUUUUCCUCUUAAUACAUUAUACACACACACACACACACACAUAUACAUAUAUUUAUUUAUUUAUUUAUUUUACUCCUGUCUGUCCACUCUGAAUGCUAGUUAAUCUCCUGCAAACUUUGCUACAGAUGCUGGCAGAUCGGUUUGAAAUGAUUAUGGGAGCCAGACCCGCUGUCCAGCUUUCCAGUAACACUCCUACAUGGAGAUGGAACCAGAACUUGGGCUGAGGCUGAGACUGGAGCUGGUCUGCCAGGGGAUGGAUGCCAACAGGCCCAAGAAAUUAAUACCAGCACUGGGGCCUCACUAAGGUUCAACAUUUAGCUCUCGCUGGAGCAGAAAAGACGACAUGACCGGCAAUGAUGUCACCAGAAAAGGUGGCUUGACUGAAUGCUAGCUAUGGUUCACCUGGAACUAACAGGGGGAAUUAGUUCCCAUCGAUGAGAAACACCCCAAAACAGAAACAUGACUUAUUUGAAUAUACGCCUCAAUAUAAGGAAAAAAUUAGAUUUACAUAUAAAACCAUGUAAUUUCUAAAUCAUCCCAUCGACGAACCAUCUAUGAAGUCCAUCUCUUGGACUUCAUUCAAACUAAGAAAACUCUCAGUCUAAGCAUUACUUUUCUGUUCAGCAGCAGCAUUUCUAUGAUCCAAAAGAAAGGGAGUGGAAGUGUAGCAACAAUGAUGAGUGAAACUGAACCACAGAUCCCAAACCAAACCACAGCUUCCUGACUUUUGCUGCACCCAUCACAUUAGACUUCAGUUGCCAAAAAAAAUCUGAUUUACUUUGACACAACAUAUUAAUCACCCCCCGAAGGGGAAUUACAAUAUUAUUAACCGCUGGAAAAAAACCUGAUGAGAAAAUGAGUUGAUAAGAUACAGAUGCACGUUAUUAGGACCAUCGUGGAUUUGACGCUCUUGGCUUCUGUCUUUCGGUUUGAAGACACAACGGUUUUGACUAUACUGUAAAAACAAUAAAAUCAAAUCAUAGUCACUUUCUGUCACUGCACAUUCGCAGAGAGUUAAGCGUUGCCAUCAUUUCUGUGCUUUUUAAUGAGCUCUGGGGACAUUACAGGCAGUUUAUAAGCUGCAAUUGUGAUCCUCUGUGUCUAAUCACAGCAACGAUGGUUUAAACAUCAGGAAAUCAUUUACAUUGCUCUGGCUCAAGGGGAGUUUCAAAGUAUCCAAGUAAAAUUAUGAUAACAGAAGACUACUUACACACUCGAGUGUGCACACGGACUGUUUUACAGACCAGACUAGCUUGCGUCUGUAAGAUAUAACUCAAAAUGUGGUGUCUUAAUACUUUGCAGGGAACUGAAUAGAUUAAUGGAUUAAGAAAAGACAACCAUUUAAUUGCAUUUUAAAGCUUCUGCAGUAAAACAGGGUAUGUAGCCAUUUUAAUCUAAUGACUUCAUCAUUCAAAACAAAAGCCUUGUAAUUAAUUUGUAACUCUAUAAUUGACUUGUAAUGAAUUUAUAAAACUUUUCAUCCCUCUUAAAAAAGAAAAAAAAACAACUUCAAAUGGGAACAAACAAUCAAUCAUCUCAAUGUCUGUUGCAAUACUAAUGAACCGCAACGGAUUCCUGUCAAAGAAAUGAAGGCCAACAUGUUUCAAUAAGGACGCUUGUUUCUUCUUCCCAUAAAUAUGUUAUCCUCGGUUAUGCCAGUGCUGGAAAGCGUCCAACUCAAGCCAUGAGACAACAUAUUUUGUGUGGGCUAGCUAAUAAUGUUUGCCCCCACUGCUUCUAUCUGUCCCUGCCCUAAGAAAAAGAAAAAAAACCACUCUAAGAGUAGGAGGAUUUCAUGUACGUUAACGGGAAACUUUCAUUUUGUAAUGGAAGAAUGGAGUCAUGGUGUAGAGUAAAAAUAAAAACUGCAAAAAGAGAGAGCUUAAGCCAGCCUAGUUCACAGUGGGAUAAAGAAUUUCGCUUACUGACCCUUUUAAUGGAAACCGACACUGAACAUUCAGCUGGGGGAACAAAUACACAAAACGGCAGAGCUGCUAUUUUUCUUUUUCCACUCCGUUUUGCUUUUUUUAACCACCUAACACUCCCCGAUGGCGCACUGUCCUAAAACUGACCAGCCUUGAAAUAUGACGAGUUUAAUAGGUCCUACAUCACCGCUGAGCACGAUUGAGUUACAAGAGUAACAACUGGUCUUUCCCAGACCUAAGCAGAGCACCAGAGCCCACGGAGGAGCAGUGUGAACAUAACCCCUUGUCAAAAGGGUUCAAAGCCAGGAGGAGACAGAAGUCUGAAGGAAUGGAAAAAGUGGAAUAAAGGGGGAAAAAAGCUCCUUAAAGGAAGUAGACUUUCAGGUGGGUAGGGAUUCAGCAUAGCUGCUCUGAUGACAGGUAAGGAUAAGAAGAGUAGUCGCUCGUCACAAUAUUGCAGCGCUGGCG